rnacentral:rRNA from 1 species
UACGGAGGGUGCAAGCGUUAUCCGGAUUCACUGGGUUUAAAGGGUGCGUAGGUGGGCAGGUAAGUCAGUGGUGAAAUCUCCGGGCUUAACCCGGAACUGCCGUUGAUACUAUUUGUCUUGAAUAUAGUGGAGGUGAGCGGAAUAUGUCAUGUAGCGGUGAAAUGCUUAGAUAUGACAUAGAACAUCGAUUGCGAAGGCAGCUCGCUACACUAUUAUUGACACUGAGGCACGAAAGCGUGGGGAUCAAACAAGGAUUAA